rnacentral:rRNA from 1 species
AAUAUUGCGCAAUGGGGGGAACCCUGACGCAGCAACGCCGCGUGAGUGAAGAAGGCCUUCGGGUCGUAAAACUCUGUCAUUGGGGAAGAAAAAAAUGACGGUACCCAAUGAGGAAGCCCCGGCUAACUACGUGCCAGCAGCCGCGGUAAUACGUAGGGGGCAAGCGUUGUCCGGAAUUACUGGGCGUAAAGGGUGCGUAGGCGGCCGUUUAAGUCAGAUGUGAAAUACCACGGCUCAACUGUGGGGGUGCAUUUGAAACUGGAUGGCUUGAGUGCAGGAGAGGAAAGUGGAAUUCCUAGUGUAGCGGUGAAAUGCGUAGAGAUUAGGAGGAACACCAGUGGCGAAGGCGACUACCUGGACUGAUACUGACACUGAGGUGCGAAAGCGUGGGGAGCAAACAGG